rnacentral:rRNA from 1 species
GACGAACGCUGGCGGCGUGCUUAACACAUGCAAGUCGAACGGUAAGGCCCUUCGGGGUACACGAGUGGCGAACGGGUGAGUAACACGUGGGUGAUCUGCCCUGCACUUCGGGAUAAGCCUGGGAAACUGGGUCUAAUACCGGAUAGGACCACUGCCUGCAUGGGUGGUGGUGGAAAGCUUUUGCGGUGUGGGAUGGGCCCGCGGCCUAUCAGCUUGUUGGGGGGGUGAUGGCCUACCAAGGCGACGACGGGUAGCCGGCCUGAGAGGGUGACCGGCCACACUGGGACUGAGAUACGGCCCAGACUCCUACGGGAGGCAGCGGUGGGGAAUAUUGCACAAUGGGCGCAAGCCUGAUGCAGCGACGCCGCGUGAGGGAUGACGGACUUCGGGUUGUAAACCUCUUUCAGCACCGACGAAGCGCAAGUGACGGUAGGUGCAGAAGAAGGACCGGCCAACUACGUGCCAGCCGCCGCCGUAA